ACACACACACACACACACACACACACACACACACACACACAGGGCUACAUCCCUUUCAAACCACAAUAUCUCCUAGCUGUGCCAAGCCUAUUGCUUGGAUUAUUAUUAAAACAAUAAGAUUAAUUUGUUGUGGGAAGCAACCAAAAAGGAGGUUUGGGGAAAAACAGAACUGUGGCUGAUAAAAUUCAAAAUGAUGAAUCCAGCCAUAACCCUCUUCGGAGCACGGCACUGUGGAAGAUGGGUCACCUGCUUCUUCUAUCGUGGAAUCAGCUAUGACCCCAGGAGCACUGCACUCGCAAAGAGAAUUCUACAUGAAGCUAUUUAUCCUAUUAUGUCAGCAAAUGAAGAAAUGAAGCUGCUGAGGUAGAUCAAGACAAAGAGGGAAGCUGCAAUGUUUUAGGUCAAGGUCACAAACUGAAGCACACUCAUGAAUAUCAAAUGCAGCAUAAGAAAAAGACUAAAGGGCUCAAGGAAAAGAAUCAGUUGAGUGAAGAAAGGGAGGUCCCAUUGAGUGACAUUGGGACUGGCAUGCCUGGUACCUGACCCCUCUACAUGAGCCGUGACCAUGGCACCUGCAAUACAAGGGAUUGUUUGAGAGGCAGGGGGUCUUAAUGAGUGAUGGAUACCUUGCUGAUGUUUACAGUACAGAUUAACUGAUGAGGUCAACAUAAAAAUGGAAAAGAAUAAAAGAGAGAGAGAGAGAAGCCAGGGAAGGAGUGUGGGCUAGAUCUAGCAAAAUGGUAGGAAAUAAAAAGACCUUGAAAAGAAAUCAGAAAGAAAAUGGCUAGGACAGGUAGGGGAAACUCAAGAAAAUGUUACAAGGAGAUGAGAUAAUUAUGAAUAAGGAAUAGUCAGCGAUGUUGAACCCCACAGGUGGAGUCAGCAGCCCCCACAACCAUAGUGAUAGAGUCAUCAGCCAGCAAGUUACUGAUUACCUUGGAACUAGCAGCUUCUGGGAGGAACCGAUAGGAACAGAGAAGGCAAAUUCAGCUUGGUUAGGAGCAAAUGGCUGAACUGAGUCCAAAUGACCCUGGUCAACAGAGCUGGAAAGGAAGAAGGCCAUAGGACUAGAGUGUGAACAGGGAUAGACCGAAGGAGCUCACUGCAGGUUUUAUUCUGUUUGUGUCUAGAAUGCUUAUAAGUGGUGCCAUCCCGAUAAACCCGGCCUCGGGGAGGGGCGGUAGAUAAAAACCUUGAUUUAUAGCGUUUGCAGAUAGCAAUGGUGUAAAAAGACUCAAGUGAUUCCUGGAACUGGGCUGUCAGUGUGAGCUCAGUGAAUAGCAGAGAACCAAAACCUAAAACCAACCACCACCUUCAAGGCCUGCUUCACAAGAGCCAAGGGAGGGAAGAACCGAUGUUGAACAUGGUGGGUAGAUAAAGAGCGGGCAGAUUGGGUCUGAAAUAGAGGUGGGAAGAUUGGGGUUGAAUUUUAAAAAAUAACUUUCUUGUGAGUUGGGUAUGCAAAGGUAUGCUUGGGAUAAAUACAUAAGAGGAGAGAGAGCUACGCACGCUUUCACUUUCUGGGUUACUUUCCCUCUAAGGACCAGAGGACUUCAUUGGGAGUGUGGAAGCAUGGGCUGAACAUCGUGUUAGAUUGGAAAGACAAAUUAAGAUCUGAAAGAAAAGGGCACAGACUCCUAUCUGGGCAGAGUUGGGAUCCCAGGGAUGUUGAAGACAAAGGCUUUGCCCCAGCACUCAUCCAUGAAGUCACAAGAAUUUAUCAGAAUGUAAUAGCUAAGCUCUUAAAGACAGAAAUAAAAUAGUGACCUUAUUUGGAGCUGAAAUCUUUUAGGAGGCUGUGCAUCGGUGGCAGAAGUUCUGGGAAGUGGUGGAUAUUGGCAGGAGAAUAUUUGAAGUGAUCAGCCAUGGUAUUUUGAGUUGAAGGGAAAGAAUAAAGUUGAGCCAGAGGGAGUUUGUCAAAGUAAAGAAAGACAUUACUUUAUUACCAUAGGGAGUUGGGGCCAAUUUCUGGCAUACAAAGAGUUUUAGCAUCCCUGGAAAGCCCUGCGGGAGAGCCGAAGAGGUCACAUACUCAUAGUCAUGCAUACCCAGGCACAUACAUACCUAUGGAUGCUUCAUGAGUAAAACAACAGAGAUGGAGGCUUAUAGCUGCCAGCCACUGAUAGGAAUGACAGCAGCUUUCUACAAUCCUGCACGGUACCCUAAGCAGUUUAGCGGCUCUUCUUGCCAUUUGCUUUCUCAGAGAUAGUUGGCUCUUUUAAACUACCUGUCAUUUCUGCCUUAAACCUCACUCAGGAAAGUCGCACACAUCCAACAAAAAAUCAGUUCCCUUCCACGGAUUGCAUUCUUCCUCCUUGAGAACAGACCUUCCCCAAGGCCUCAUCCCUAAGUGACGUGUCUUGUUCAAGCCAGACGGUACUAAGCUGUGCUUGCCUCUGGCAUUUUAUCAAGUUACCUUAUUUUAUAUCAUUCGUUAUAUAGAAAAUUGGUUAAAAUAGACCACAAAGGGGAAGUUGGGUUUUUAUCCUUCAUUGGGAUGUGACUUGGUGCCAUGACAAGUGAAUGGUGGAGUUGAAAAAGAAAGAGUGUUAUUAUUUAUCAUAGUAUUUUGCCAGAUUCCUCAUGCUCUAGUCUCAAAAAAACAUCAAGAAAGAGGACAUUGAAGGUCAUAACAUCCCUUAGAAAUAAAAGCAAAGCUUUAAUCAGUUGACACAGAGACAAUGAAGGAUUGAAUGCCACCUGCCAGAGCAAGACCUAACACCACUGAACACUGAACACUGAACACCGGACAGAAGGUAAAUGAAGUGUGUCUGUUCCAAUCACGACUGGAAUUUUAAGUGAGAGGAAUGGAAUAAACGCAGUUCGGAAUUUGAAAUAAAUUCAGAUCGGAAUGUGUCUGGAGACUGAGGUUUACAUAAGAACUACACAAAGCUCAGAGCGUGACCCAAGGUGAAGUGUUCCUGGCAUCUCGGAGUGAGAUAUGGACUCUUGAAGGACCAGGGCACAGACACUUCAUCCAGAGUCAUUUAUUUCUUCUUGGAGAAGAAAAUGCAGACGUUUAUAUAACAUGCUGGAGUGGGAGUAAUAUUUCUCAGACAUGGUAUUUCAAGUUGAGUGUUACCAAUAAAAUAUUCCCAUC
rnacentral:lncRNA from 1 species